rnacentral:rRNA from 1 species
GGUUAAGCGACUAAGCGUACACGGUGGAUGCCCUGGCAGUCAGAGGCGAUGAAGGACGUGCUAAUCUGCGAUAAGCGUCGGUAAGGUGAUAUGAACCGUUAUAACCGGCGAUUUCCGAAUGGGGAAACCCAGUGUGAUUCGUCACACUAUCAUUAACUGAAUCCAUAGGUUAAUGAGGCGAACCGGGGGAACUGAAACAUCUAAGUACCCCGAGGAAAAGAAAUCAACCGAGAUUCCCCCAGUAGCGGCGAGCGAACGGGGAGCAGCCCAGAGCCUGAAUCAGUGUGUGUGUUAGUGGAAGCGUCUGGAAAGGCGCGCGAUACAGGGUGACAGCCCCGUACACAAAAAUGCACAUGCUGUGAGCUCGAUGAGUAGGGCGGGACACGUGGUAUCCUGUCUGAAUAUGGGGGGACCAUCCUCCAAGGCUAAAUACUCCUGACUGACCGAUAGUGAACCAGUACCGUGAGGGAAAGGCGAAAAGAACCCCGGCGAGGGGAGUGAAAAAGAACCUGAAACCGUGUACGUACAAGCAGUGGGAGCACGCUUAGGCGUGUGACUGCGUACCUUUUGUAUAAUGGGUCAGCGACUUAUAUUCUGUAGCAAGGUUAACCGAAUAGGGGAGCCGAAGGGAAACCGAGUCUUAACUGGGCGUUAAGUUGCAGGGUAUAGACCCGAAACCCGGUGAUCUAGCCAUGGGCAGGUUGAAGGUUGGGUAACACUAACUGGAGGACCGAACCGACUAAUGUUGAAAAAUUAGCGGAUGACUUGUGGCUGGGGGUGAAAGGCCAAUCAAACCGGGAGAUAGCUGGUUCUCCCCGAAAGCUAUUUAGGUAGCGCCUCGUGAAUUCAUCUCCGGGGGUAGAGCACUGUUUCGGCAAGGGGGUCAUCCCGACUUACCAACCCGAUGCAAACUGCGAAUACCGGAGAAUGUUAUCACGGGAGACACACGGCGGGUGCUAACGUCCGUCGUGAAGAGGGAAACAACCCAGACCGCCAGCUAAGGUCCCAAAGUCAUGGUUAAGUGGGAAACGAUGUGGGAAGGCCCAGACAGCCAGGAUGUUGGCUUAGAAGCAGCCAUCAUUUAAAGAAAGCGUAAUAGCUCACUGGUCGAGUCGGCCUGCGCGGAAGAUGUAACGGGGCUAAACCAUGCACCGAAGCUGCGGCAGCGACGCUGAUGCGUUGUUGGGUAGGGGAGCGUUCUGUAAGCCUGCGAAGGUGUGCUGUGAGGCAUGCUGGAGGUAUCAGAAGUGCGAAUGCUGACAUAAGUAACGAUAAAGCGGGUGAAAAGCCCGCUCGCCGGAAGACCAAGGGUUCCUGUCCAACGUUAAUCGGGGCAGGGUGAGUCGACCCCUAAGGCGAGGCCGAAAGGCGUAGUCGAUGGGAAACAGGUUAAUAUUCCUGUACUUGGUGUUACUGCGAAGGGGGGACGGAGAAGGCUAUGUUGGCCGGGCGACGGUUGUCCCGGUUUAAGCGUGUAGGCUGGUUUUCCAGGCAAAUCCGGAAAAUCAAGGCUGAGGCGUGAUGACGAGGCACUACGGUGCUGAAGCAACAAAUGCCCUGCUUCCAGGAAAAGCCUCUAAGCAUCAGGUAACAUCAAAUCGUACCCCAAACCGACACAGGUGGUCAGGUAGAGAAUACCAAGGCGCUUGAGAGAACUCGGGUGAAGGAACUAGGCAAAAUGGUGCCGUAACUUCGGGAGAAGGCACGCUGAUAUGUAGGUGAAGUCCCUCGCGGAUGGAGCUGAAAUCAGUCGAAGAUACCAGCUGGCUGCAACUGUUUAUUAAAAACACAGCACUGUGCAAACACGAAAGUGGACGUAUACGGUGUGACGCCUGCCCGGUGCCGGAAGGUUAAUUGAUGGGGUCAGCGCAAGCGAAGCUCUUGAUCGAAGCCCCGGUAAACGGCGGCCGUAACUAUAACGGUCCUAAGGUAGCGAAAUUCCUUGUCGGGUAAGUUCCGACCUGCACGAAUGGCGUAAUGAUGGCCAGGCUGUCUCCACCCGAGACUCAGUGAAAUUGAACUCGCUGUGAAGAUGCAGUGUACCCGCGGCAAGACGGAAAGACCCCGUGAACCUUUACUAUAGCUUGACACUGAACAUUGAGCCUUGAUGUGUAGGAUAGGUGGGAGGCUUUGAAGUGUGGACGCCAGUCUGCAUGGAGCCGGCCUUGAAAUACCACCCUUUAAUGUUUGAUGUUCUAACGUUGACCCGUAAUCCGGGUUGCGGACAGUGUCUGGUGGGUAGUUUGACUGGGGCGGUCUCCUCCUAAAGAGUAACGGAGGAGCACGAAGGUUGGCUAAUCCUGGUCGGACAUCAGGAGGUUAGUGCAAUGGCAUAAGCCAGCUUGACUGCGAGCGUGACGGCGCGAGCAGGUGCGAAAGCAGGUCAUAGUGAUCCGGUGGUUCUGAAUGGAAGGGCCAUCGCUCAACGGAUAAAAGGUACUCCGGGGAUAACAGGCUGAUACCGCCCAAGAGUUCAUAUCGACGGCGGUGUUUGGCACCUCGAUGUCGGCUCAUCACAUCCUGGGGCUGAAGUAGGUCCCAAGGGUAUGGCUGUUCGCCAUUUAAAGUGGUACGCGAGCUGGGUUUAGAACGUCGUGAGACAGUUCGGUCCCUAUCUGCCGUGGGCGCUGGAGAACUGAGGGGGGCUGCUCCUAGUACGAGAGGACCGGAGUGGACGCAUCACUGGUGUUCGGGUUGUCAUGCCAAUGGCACUGCCCGGUAGCUAAAUGCGGAAGAGAUAAGUGCUGAAAGCAUCUAAGCACGAAACUUGCCCCGAGAUGAGUUCUCCCUGACUCCUUGAGAGUCCUGAAGGAACGUUGAAGACGACGACGUUGAUAGGCCGGGUGUGUAAGCGCAGCGAUGCGUUGAGCUAACCGGUACUAAUGAACCGUGAGGCUUAACCUU